UACAGAGGGUGCGAGCGUUAAUCGGAAUUACUGGGCGUAAAGCGCGCGUAGACGGUUUUGUAAGUCGGGUGUGAAAUCCCUGGGCUCAACCUGGGAACUGCAUUCGAGACUGCAUUGCUAGAGUACGGAAGAGGGAAGCGGAAUUUCCGGUGUAGCGGUGAAAUGCGUAGAUAUCGGAAGGAACACCAGUGGCGAAAGCGGCUUCCUGGUCCAAUACUGACGUUCAUGUGCGAAAGCGUGGGGAGCAAACAGG
rnacentral:rRNA from 1 species